AAGGAUCAUUACCGAGAUUGAAGGGUACCUUCGGGGCCCCGAACCUCCAUCCCGUGUCGCACGACGCAACCGAUUGCUUAGGCGGGAAACCCCGCCGGCAGCUACCCCAAACCUCGCUAUUUUCCGUGACGUCUGAGAAAAGUUUAUAAUUGAUAAAACUUUCAACAACGGAUCUCUUGGUUCUGGCAUCGAUGAAGAACGCAGCGAAAUGCGAUAAGUAAUGCGAAUUGCAGAAUUCAGUGAGUCAUCGAAUCUUUGAACGCACAUUGCGCCCUCCGGUAUUCCGGGGGGCAUGCCUGUCCGAGCGUCGUUACCACCGCCAUCUACUGGCUGGCCGCGAGCCUCCCGCUCGGCGAUGGGCUAUAUCGCCUCUGCGAUUGACCUCAAAACGAGGGUGUGGACGUCGAACCUCCAGCCGCAGUGAAAUCUUUUCGGUUCUGAGGGACGGCGUCGCCGCCACGGUGUCUACGGACAUUGCGUGCCCGACAUCAAAGGGGUACGCCGGCCGGACGCCCGCAGCGCUCCAAUCUUCGACCUCGGAUCAGGUAGGGAUACCCGCUGAACUUAA
rnacentral:rRNA from 1 species